rnacentral:rRNA from 1 species
GACGAACGCUGGCGGCGUGCUUAACACAUGCAAGUCGAACGGAAAGGCCCUGCUUUUGUGGGGUGCUCGAGUGGCGAACGGGUGAGUAACACGUGAGUAACCUGCCCUUGACUUUGGGAUAACUUCAGGAAACUGGGGCUAAUACCGGAUAGGAGCUCCUGCUGCAUGGUGGGGGUUGGAAAGUUUCGGCGGUUGGGGAUGGACUCGCGUCUUAUCAGCUUGAUGGUGGGGUAGUGGCUUACCAAGGCUUUGACGGGUAGCCGGCCUGAGAGGGUGACCGGCCACAUUGGGACUGAGAUACGGCCCAGCCUCCUACGGGAGGCAGCAGUGGGGAAUAUUGCACAAUGGGCGGAAGCCUGAUGCAGCAACGCCGCGUGCGGGAUGACGGCCUUCGGGUUGUAAACCGCUUUCGCCUGUGACGAAGCGUGAGUGACGGUAAUGGGUAAAGAAGCACCGGCUAACUACGUG